rnacentral:rRNA from 1 species
CCAAUAGCGUAUAUUAAAGUUGUUGCAGUUAAAAAGCUCGUAGUUGAACUUCAGGCCUGGCUGGACGGUCCGCCUUCCGGGUGAGUACUGUCUGUGGUCGGGUCCUACCUUCUGGCGAAGCGUCAUGGCCUUAACCGGCCGUGGCGGGGAACCAGGACUUUUACUGUGAAAAAAUUAGAGUGUUCAAAGCAGGCAAUUCGCUUGGAUACA